rnacentral:rRNA from 1 species
UACGAAGGGUGCGAGCGUUAUUCGGAAUCACUGGGCGUAAAGAGUGCGUAGACGGUCCAUUAAGUUUGUUGUUAAAGACUCUAGCCUAACUGGAGGGUUGCAAUGAAAACUGGUGAGCUGGAGGGUGAGAGAGAGAAGUGGAAUUCCUGGAGUAGCGGUAAAAUGCGUGGAUAUCAGGAGGAACACCAAUGGCGAAGGCAGCUUCUUGGCUCAUUCCUGACGUUGAGGCACGAAAGCGUGGGGAGCAAACAGG